ensembl:snRNA U6 U6 spliceosomal RNA
GUGCUUGCUUCAGCAGCACGUAUACUAAAAUUGGAAUGAUACAGAAAAGAUUAGCAUGACCCCUGCACAAGGAUGACAAGCAAAUUCGUGAAGCAUUCCAUAUUUUU